GACUCCAUGAAGCUGGAUUCGCUAGUAAUCGCGCAUCAGCCACGGCGCGGUGAAUACGUUCCCGGGCCUUGUACACACCGCCCGUCAAGCCAUGGAAGCCGGGAGUGCCUGAAGUACGCGACCGCAAGGAGCGUCCUAAGGUAAAACCGGUGACUGGGGCUAAGUCGUAACAAGGUAGC
rnacentral:rRNA from 1 species